ensembl:snoRNA
CUCCUUUUAUGGCUCACAAGCAUGGCAGCUGAGUUUGAACACCACUGUGUGAGAUGUGCCUCCUUCAAACCUUGUCAUGCCAUUGGCGCAUUUCCCAUCUGGUA